UACAGAGGGGGCAAGCGUUGUUCGGAAUUACUGGGCGUAAAGGGCGCGUAGGCGGCCUGCUAAGUCGAACGUGAAAUCCCUGGGCUCAACCCAGGAACUGCGUCCGAUACUGGUUGGCUUGAAUCCGGGAGAGGGACGUGGAAUUCCAGGUGUAGCGGUGAAAUGCGUAGAUAUCGGAAGAACACCAGUGGCGAAGGCGCUCACUGGCCCGUUACCGAGCUCAGGCGCGACAGCGUGGGGAGCAAACAGG
rnacentral:rRNA from 1 species